rnacentral:rRNA from 1 species
UAAUACAUGCAAGUCGAACGAGAUUGAAGAGCUUGCUCUUCAUGAAAGUGGCGCACGGGUGCGUAACGCGUAUGCAAUCUACCUUACUCAGGGGGAUAGCCCGGAGAAAUCCGGAUUAACACCGCAUAACAUAAUGAUAUGGCAUCAUAUUAUUAUCAAAUAUUUAUAGGAGUAAGAUGAGCAUGCGUGACAUUAGCUAGUUGGUGAGGUAACGGCUCACCAAGGCGACGAUGUCUAGGGGAUCUGAGAGGAUGACCCCCCACACUGGUACUGAGACACGGACCAGACUCCUACGGGAGGCAGCAGUAAGGAAUAUUGGUCAAUGGAGGCAACUCUGAACCAGCCAUGCCGCGUGCAGGAAGACGGCCCUACGGGUUGUAAACUGCUUUUGUACCGGAAUAAACCCUCUUUCGUGAAAGAGGUUGAAUGUACGGUAAGAAUAAGGAUCGGCUAACUCCGUGCCAGCAGCCGCGGUAAUACGGAGGAUCCAAGCGUUAUCCGGAUUUAUUGGGUUUAAAGGGUGCGUAGGCGGCUUAUUAAGUCAGGGGUGAAAGACGGUGGCUCAACCAUCGCAGUGCCUUUGAUACUGAUGAGCUUGAAUCUACCUGAGGUAGGCGGAAUGUGACAAGUAGCGGUGAAAUGCAUAGAUAUGUCACAGAACACCAAUUGCGAAGGCAGCUUACUAAAGUGGUAUUGACGCUGAGGCACGAAAGCGUGGGGAUCAAACAGGAUUAGAUACCCUGGUAGUCCACGCCCUAAACGAUGAACACUCGAUGUUGGCGAUAUACAGUCAGCGUCUAAGCGAAAGCGUUAAGUGUUCCACCUGGGGAGUACGCCCGCAAGGG